GCCCGAGUCGCUUAGUCGGUAGAGCGUUAGGCUUUUAACCUAACGGUCCAGGGUUAGAGCCCCUGCUCGAGCG
rnacentral:tRNA from 1 species